GUCUGAGGUCAUACCACCCUGAACAUACCUGAUCUCGUCUGAUACAGAAGCUAAGCAGGGAUGGGCUUGGUUAGAAUGUGGAUGGGAGAACUCAUAGCAGACCCAGCUCCCUCGUCA
rnacentral:rRNA from 1 species